CACGUAGGGGGCGAGCGUUGUCCGGAAUCAUUGGGCGUAAAGAGCUCGUAGGCGGCUCAGUAAGUCGGGUGUGAAACCCUCAGGCUCAACCUGGGGACGCCACCCGAUACUGCUGUGGCUAGAGUCCAGUAGGGGAGUGUGGAAUUCCCGGUGUAGCGGUGAAAUGCGCAGAUAUCGGGAGGAACACCAGUGGCGAAGGCGGGUCUCUGGGCCGAUACUGACGCUGAGGAGCGAAAGCGUGGGGAGCGAACAGG
rnacentral:rRNA from 1 species